GGGCGUUUGAUUCAUAACCGAAAUCAGAAUGAAAAUCGAAAUCGGAAUGGCUUGGAAUCAGAAUAGAAAUAGCCAAAUCCUCUGAAGCAUUUGAUUCACGACCAGAAUCGGAAUCGGAAUGAAAAAUUGAAUCCAUAAAGGAGAGUAAGGAUUGACUUUUAUAUAGAUUGAGCUAUUCCUAUUCCACUCCGGAAUCAGAAUUGAAAUAGGACUCCUCCUAAUC
rnacentral:lncRNA from 1 species